GCUGGGGUAGCUAAGCCUGGUUUAAAGCGAUAGCCUCGAGAGCUAUUGGCGUUUGUCGCCGCAGGAGUUCAAAUCUCCUCCCCAGCG
rnacentral:tRNA from 1 species